CUUUUCCAAGUUCAUGAUACGCCCCUUUCCUCAAGCCUCACAAAAACAGCUGAUUUGCGUAGAUGAGACUUUAACGCGGUCCCUUCCCCACCCUGAGGACAGGGAAAAGGGUGGGGGAGGGAUAGGGUAUGGGAGGGGUAUUGGGUGUGGUAAAUACAAGUGUAAAUCAUGGAGUAUCAUAUUUGUAAACCAACCAAUCUGGCGCAACUGAACGAUGAACGAUGUGCCUCCUCUUGGGAAAGCUGUCACACACAAUCCUGCGUAUGUGUUUCCAUGGAACAAGUGGUAGUUGGCGAGCGACCGUUCCUUCAACGAAAUCGUAUGUAGCCACUACAGGAACUCCGCUCGGGCAUUUAUAUUCCUUCGGCGUGGAUUGGACAUGGAUGAGGACAUGAUUGGCGUCCUUAAACGUCCUUAAUAAAUGCAACGCUUGUUCUUGUUCUACUGGGACUGAUUGAUGUGUAUCUUUUGACUUUUUUUGAGCUGUGUGGUUUUUGGUCGAAUUAGAUUGGAGUUGGAAUAUAACACACUACUUACAAACAUAUAAUAUUAUCUCAGAAGCAUUUGGAAAACAACGCUUGUCACAACAAAUUGACUCUCCUUUCCGAGAAUAGUUCAUCUUCAUAUCUGCUGUUUAGUUGUUUUAAAACUGCAUGUCGUCCUAGUUGUAUAAAUCAUAACGAAUAGUUAGGUGGUGGAUUCAAUAAUCAAGACACGUAUUUUAAUGUUUAUCCUAUGUAAUCAAUAAUUGGUGGUGGGUUUUAUACUAUGUAAUCAAUAUUUGGUGGUGGGUUUUAUACUAUGUAAUCAAUAUUUGGUGGUGGGUUUUAUACUAUGUAAUCAAGAAUUGAUGUUGGGUUUUAUCUCUAUAAUCAAUAUUUGGUGGUGGGUUUUAUACUAUGUAAUCACUAUUUGGUGGUGGGCUUUAUACUAUGUAAUCAAGAAUUGGUGGUGGGUUUUAUAUUCUGUAAUCAAUAUUUGGUGGUGGGUUUUGUAUUCUGUAAUCAAUAGUGGGUGGUGGGUUUUAUACUAUAAAAUUGAAAUGUGUUAGUGUACUCCUUCUUAAUUAGUAUCUACUGAUGUAUUGCUUUAAUUGUAAUCGGAAUUUUGUCAGUCCUUUGUAAUGGGUAGUCGCUAUAUCAAUUUAUUCGGUUUUUAUCCUUAUUUCUAGUAUUCGUUAAUGGUCUUUUCUCCAGUGUUAUCAGAAUUUCGUGAUCGAAUUUGUAAUAUGUAUUUGAACAGUUUUUAACCUAUAGCCAAUCAUUUAAUAAUAUUUAUUUUGUAUGUAUACAUUUGAGCAUUUACAAGUACUUGAAUAUGUAUCGUCACUAUAAUAUAUCACACAUUAGUAGCCUAAUUGGCUUAUCAGUCUUUUAUUUCAUAUGUUCAUAUGCCUUUCAAGCAAUCACUGGAUGCAAUGCCAAUACAUUAUUAUAACAGUUUUAUAGUCGGGUUGAAGGAUUUAUUGCUGACAUGAACGGGUAUAAUAUUCACAAGAGCAUUUUAUAUCACAAGCAAAAGCCCCCUUUGGCAUAUGCGUACGUACAUAUUUGUUAUCAAAACAAUAAUGGUAGUAUAUAAAGUCAUAUUUCUGUAAUACAAACAUUAAGCCAUGCUUUAUAAUGUAUUAGUUUGAAUGGUGAUUAUUGUCAAGACUGCAGUUAUUUAUGUGCAACCUUUCAUAUGUAACAUUGUAACGAUAUAUUCACGAUAAGGACUUUAACCGAAUUCUAUGACGUUCUCAUGUGUAUUAAUUAUGUAUAUUUUGUAUAUAACAUGUAUCUUUUGAAAUGGAGACUGAACGGGAUUUCGACGUCAUUACUUUGGCCAUUGUUUUGUCAACCAGUCAAUAUUUAUAAACUUUGAAAAGCUUCAAAUCAUGCGAUCUACAUACUUUCGAAUCUUUCCUUUGCUUACAAUAUAUAACUUCGGCAAUUCAAACGGAAAACAAUUUGGUUUUAGGGGUAUGCUUACAUAAAACUGGAACAUAUGAACAACAGUUGACAGCUUUUGAAUUGUUUUAAUGACAUAUAAUAAUAACAAUAACACUACUGGGGUGCAUCACGUGACCUAGUUCGGCACAAACUCUCGUUCAUAGUCUCGUUUCACUCAGUGCUCGCGAUGCCAAAGAACAAGAUUUGUAUAUAAUAAUAUUUAUUUUAUUUUAUGUGUAUAUGGCGCCAUAUAUAAAUGCUACUUUAUGCUUUUUGUCAAUAUGUUUUUUAUUUAAUUCAAAUUUCAUUAUACGUUAACGUCAGGUUGUUCCUGUUGAAUCCAAUACGAGUGUUUGUAUCAGAUGAGUGUACAAUGUAUGUCAUUUUGUUUGUUUCUGCUGCUAGGUGUGUAUGCAUAAGUUCUUGUGUCUGUGAAGAUUAUAUUAUUGAUCCUAUUUCGAGAUGUGCAAGCAUGUGUGCUAUUUGAAAUGGUGACAUUCUAGUCAAAAUAACAUUUAUCAACAUAACGUAUUUCCAUUCAAUACAAACACUUAUCUUUUUUUUAAUUUCAUUACAUGAACAUUUUGUUCAAUUCCAUGAUUUUUUUAAGGUUUUCCUUUUCAAAUCAAAGUUAUCAAUAAUAUGUUUUGAAACCAUUGACCUGUUGUGGACCUAAUGUCAUUCUUAUAUUUCGACAAGUAUGAAGAGUCUGAACGUUAUAACACCAUGUUUUUUUCAACUACUAGUAUUAGACUUCAUCACUUUAUUCUGUUUUAAAUGCGGAUAUUUAUGAGCUGGUUGUCAAGUAUUUGUAAAUAUAAUAAAAAAUACAUUAAUGUUGCGAUAUUUUUAAACAUGAAGCAAACUAUAAAUGGCAAUUUCAUUAUGAACCAAAACAAAAUACCAUUCCAUAGAGACGCCACACUGAAGUCCCAUGCCUAUGAUAGGACGCGAACAUGGAACGACUACCAUACAAAUCAUCGUCAAUCCACUCCUAGUUAAUAUAUAUUACAAUGAUGUAUAUUUGUCUUUAUAUUCUUUCAUUAUUAAAGCUUUGUAUGUGUAUAUAUGCUAUUUUGUGGGCGGGAAAGGUGCAAUAUUGUCUUCGUCAUGUACAGAGUCUAUGCUUAAGUAUAGUCCUGUUUAUUUAUGUAGUUUAAGCUUUGUUUAAUGCGCAGUUUUAUGCAAUCCAUUUUUCUGUCCCUCAUGGUUACAUAUUCGUGUAUCAAUGGUGUUAUUUAAAGCCCCCCUCCCCAUCAAUGUUCAUUCCUAACUGACCUAUAUUAUGUAUAUGAAAUUAUGUAUUAAUCAUUUUGCAAAAAGAAAGUGUGCAGUUAUUUUUUUACAUAAUUUUAUUUUAAUUAAUGGUAUGCGAUACAAAAUAUUGCCAUUUUUUUAUGCCAGAUGAUCCUUUUUUGUUUUGGUAUCAGUUGAAAGUUUUUAAAGUUCAAAGAAAGAAUAUGUACAACUUAUUAAAAGCACACAGUUUAAACUUAAAAGAUGGCUUAAUAGGCAGUCUUGCGUACGAUUUCAAUAACGAACAAAAAAAACUGCACUUACUUUAUCUAUAAUGUAUUUUCGCUCAUUUCUUUACAUUGAAGUAUAUCAGGAAUAAAAACUCUUUUAUACAAUUCCAAAAUCAUAUGGGGAUCUCCAGGCAUCAAAAGUUACCAUUAUUGAAAAUAGUUUCUUCAGUAACAAGCUGAUGGGAACAACGUAUACUUGAAAGUCUUCUCAUCUCAGAAAUAAAGCCCAUUUUUCUUCCCUUUUCGUUGACACAUAUCAAGAAGUAUUCUAAGAGGAGCUUUCCUCGCACAGUAUACAAACUCUUGCUUUGACAAUAAGAAUUAUUUGAUUCUAGUUGAAACUGUUGAAUGUUGCUAUAUGUGUUAACACACGCAAGUCAGAACUUUAUUAGUAAUAAGUGCACACUUUCUUUUUAUUUUUAAAUGUAUAUAUCGGUUUUGAACGUAAUCAGUUAACCUGUUUAUAAAAUAUCAAAACCGAGGCUCCUAUGCUGUAUUGUGAUAACUUGAACAUUCCAUCAUCUUCAUUAUUAUCAUCGUCAUUACCGUAGUCAUCUUUUUAUGUAAUUUGUAGUUAGUUCCUAAUUGCAUUCAGUACCAAAAUAAUACUCAUGUACACUAUACUAACAUUGUUAAUGUCAAAACAUUGAAUUAAUUAUAAUGUACAAUAAACAUGAACGGUAUGAAAUAACAGGA